rnacentral:lncRNA from 1 species
ACAUUUACAACUACUCAUUUUCAUUUCUAAUGUUUAAACAAAUCAAUAAUGGGUAGUUGUAAAUACUCUUAAAAUACGUAUUAAAAAUAUUUCAAGUGCAUACAAGUAUUUCUGCAACAUCUCCAACUUAUUUUGGUGUACUUUAUGUAUUAAUUAUUACUAAUUUGGGUAGUCUGUGUUUCUUAGGUCACCCCUAAGCCUUAUUGUUACUAGUUUAACAUAUUGCUGUCAGUAAAUUUGUGCCAGAAAAAAGGGAUUAAGUUUGUAGGGAAGGUAAGCUUGUAUGCUAAAUGUGGCAAUGGUGGUGUUCAACUUAUUAAGAACUUUAAACUAAGUAAUCACUCUAAAUGUGUUUGAUUUUACCUUCAGCUAUUUGUUUUAGCUGCUAUUUGCUUUAACAAUUUUCUAAGUUUACCACAUUAUGUAUCAUUAGCUACUAUCAGUUACAUGGAUUAAUUAAGCGAUCAUACUCAAAAUUAAAAAAAAAAAAGGAUCAAAUGAAGAUUGGAAUAGAGGCAAGCAACGAUAUGGUGCAUCAAGUUGAAUUUGGUGUAUUAUGCACCAAGAUAAUUGAAUUUGAUAAAUUUAGAUCAUUGUAAAUGUACUUCCUCAUUAUUCAAAUCUAAUCGUUGAACUAUGUUAAUGCAUCUAACACAAGAUAUUUUAAUAGAAGACUUUUUACUAGAAACUGGAAAUAAUCCAAUAGUUACACAAGCAUGUAAAGUUUGAAUUUAUUUUACUAUCUUCGUUGUGUGGAAAAAAGAAUAUUAAGAUUAAGACACAGCAACGGAGAAAGAAGAUUUGGUGGACAUGUGAAAUAGGACUGAAAGAGCUGGUUUAGGUUAUGUUAGGCUCUCCCACAAGUGCUAUGAAAUUGACAUCAACUCUUCUUGACAAAUAGGGCUUCUCCAAAAAGAGAAAAUAACUGAAAACAAAAAUCCUAGAAAUCUUUCUAUAUCUAAUAUCUAAUCUAUUUUAACACCCUGUUUGAAAUAAAAUUUUUGUGACUAAUUCAAGUUCCUCAUAGCCAAAAUUGUAGAAUCAGCAUUUACUCUGCAAGUGGAAAUGCUUUUACCUAGUUGAAUAAUGACAAAAAUCCUCACAUGUGCAAUCAAGAAAGGAAUAACUUCUUUUAGUGCCCUAGAAAAAUCCUCUUACUACAUGUGAAAUAUUGAAUUAUGUUUAUAUAUACUAGAAAAUAAGAAAAAUAAGGAAAUAGCAUCAGGAUGUUAGAUACAUGCACGUUGGAAGAUUUUUAGCUAGGGAAAUGAUCCUCGUUAUUAUCAAACAUUAAGUAUUGAUUUGCAACUCAAUUUAGACCAAAUAAAUCAAGGUGAACCUUAACACAAUCCAGAUAUCUUCAAAAAAAUCAAGUACACUAUUUGAAGUCAAAAUACAGAGGCUCGCUUGUUUUGCUACAAAUUUGUUAAAAGAAAAAGAAAAGAAAAAAGCAACACAGAAAAUGCUGAAAGAAUUGCUUGGAAUGAGAUAAACAACUUUUUCAGUUAUAUGCUUGUAAAAUGUUUUAAACAGAAUAAAAAUUUUCAUUUGGUGGAAUACCAUAAAGGGCACAUCAACUAUCAACUAUGCACCUUAAAGCAUUUCAAGUUAGGAAACAACCGAAGCAAUUCUUCGCGGCUCCGUCUCUGCAAAGAGGUAAACUGUUAAAAAACGGGUCCAACUAAUACUUGUAAUUUGUAUAUAUGGAGCUACUUCCAAGCACAAAUUUACCUUGAUUCCUAUACAGCCAUUCACAUCAAGAGUUGUAAUUUUGUCAGAACAGGACUUUGAGAGUUCCUCCAGGCAUUUAUCAGUCACACCAGUUAUUCCAAACAAGCUGCAAACAUUUCCUUUCAACACAUUAGCAAGAUAAGAGUUUUUUAAGGUAAAAAAUAAUCACAAUCCCCGAAUCCUAACAUUCUUGUAGGUGCUAUUGUUGGUGGACCUGAUCUUCAUGAUAGGUUCCCUGAUCAACGGUCAGAUUAUGAACAAUCUGAGCCAGCUACUUAUAUCAAUGCACCACUUGUUGGAACACUAGCUUAUCUUGCACACUCAUUUGGUCAACUCUAGAAGGAGACUAUUGUGUCCCAUUUUCGAGAAAUACUUGCAUGUUUCCCGUGUUUUAAGAACAUUUACAACUACUCAUUUUCAUUUCUAAUGUUUAAACAAAUCAAUAAUGGGUAGUUGUAAAUACUCUUAAAAUACGUAUUAAAAAUAUUUCAAGUGCAUACAAGUAUUUCUGCAACAUCUCCAACUUAUUUUGGUGUACUUUAUGUAUUAAUUAUUACUAAUUUGGGUAGUCUGUGUUUCUUAGGUCACCCCUAAGCCUUAUUGUUACUAGUUUAACAUAUUGCUGUCAGUAAAUUUGUGCCAGAAAAAAGGGAUUAAGUUUGUAGGGAAGGUAAGCUUGUAUGCUAAAUGUGGCAAUGGUGGUGUUCAACUUAUUAAGAACUUUAAACUAAGUAAUCACUCUAAAUGUGUUUGAUUUUACCUUCAGCUAUUUGUUUUAGCUGCUAUUUGCUUUAACAAUUUUCUAAGUUUACCACAUUAUGUAUCAUUAGCUACUAUCAGUUACAUGGAUUAAUUAAGCGAUCAUACUCAAAAUUAAAAAAAAAAAAGGAUCAAAUGAAGAUUGGAAUAGAGGCAAGCAACGAUAUGGU